UCUUAGCCCGGAUUGAGCGGUAUGUUUGAGCUCUUUUCUUUGGUUUCUGCGGCGGCAUAGCCGCCGCAGAAACCAAAGAAAAAGCGAGUAGCGAAAGCCGGAAAAAGC
rnacentral:misc_RNA from 1 species